GGGGGUAUAGCUCAGCUGGGAGAGCGCGUGAAUGGCAUUCACGAGGCCACGGGUUCGAGUCCCGUUACCUCCACCA
rnacentral:tRNA from 1 species